rnacentral:rRNA from 1 species
GACGAACGCUGGCGGCGUGCUUAACACAUGCAAGUCGAACGGAAAGGCCCUGCUUUUGUGGGGUGCUCGAGUGGCGAACGGGUGAGUAACACGUGAGUAACCUGCCCUUGACUUUGGGAUAACUUCAGGAAACUGGGGCUAAUACCGGAUAGGAGCUCCUGCUGCAUGGUGGGGGUUGGAAAGUUUCGGCGGUUGGGGAUGGACUCGCGGCUUAUCGGCUUGUUGGUGGGGUAGUGGCUUACCAAGGCUUUGACGGGUAGCCGGCCUGAGAGGGUGACCGGCCACAUUGGGACUGCGAUACGGCCCAGACUCCUACGGGCGGCAGCAGUGGGGAAUAUUGCACAAUGGGCGGAAGCCUGAUGCAGCAACGCCGCGUGCGGGAUGACGGCCUUCGGGUUGUAAACCGCUUUCGCCUGUAACGAAGCGUGAGUGACGGUAAUGGGUAAAGAAGCACCGGCUAACUACGUG